CGAACGGGUGAGUAACACGUGGGCAACCUGCCCAAAAGAGGGGGAUAACGCUUGGAAACAGGUGCUAAUACCGCAUAACCAUAGUUACCGCAUGGUAACUAUGUAAAAGGUGGCUAUGCUACCGCUUUUGGAUGGGCCCGCGGCGCAUUAGCUAGUUGGUGGGGUAAAGGCUUACCAAGGCAAUGAUGCGUAGCCGAACUGAGAGGUUGAUCGGCCACAUUGGGACUGAGACACGGCCCAAACUCCUACGGGAGGCAGCAG
rnacentral:rRNA from 1 species